rnacentral:rRNA from 1 species
AUGCACAUGAUGGCGAGGCGAGAGCGAGAUGUGGAUUUUUUCUUCAAGUACUUGGUAGAUGAGCAUGGCCAUCUGAAGGGACUGUUCUGGGCUGAUAGUCAAUCGCGACUUGACUACGAGGCUUUCGGAGACGUCAUUGUUUUCGAUAGCACAUACAGAACCAACAAAUACAAUCUGCCAUUCGUGCCUUUUGUCGGGUUGAAUCACCACCGCAGCACUGUUAUAUUUGGCUAUGGUAUAAUUUCUCAUGAAACAAGCCAGGCAUACGAGUGGAUGUUGCGGACCUUUUCUGAUUGCAUGCCACAGGAGCAUUCGAUAUCUGUGAUCACAGAUGGGGACCUUGCAAUGCAGAGAGCAAUAAGAGUGGUCUGGCCAGACUCAAACCAUAUACUAUGUAUAUGGCACAUUCAGCAGAACAUUGUACGCCAUCUGCAUGAUGACGACGUAAAGGAGGAAUUCAGAUCUUUCAUUUAUGAUACUUCUUCCAUUGAAGAGCAUGAGAUAAAAUGGAUACAAUUCUUACAACGGAAUAAAGUAACCAGUGAGGAGUCUUGGCUGCAUCAGAUGUAUCAUAUGAGAAAGUUGUGGUGUGCUCCAUAUCUUGAGGGGCGUUGUUUCCUAGGAUUGAGCAGCAAUCAGAGGAGUGAGAGCUUGAACUCUGUGCUACAUACGCAUCUUGAGGGUAAGAUGUCGUUGUUUGAAAUGCUAGACCACUAUGAGCGUUGCCUUGCGUCGCGAGGGAUUAACGAAGCUCUCCAUGACGUCGAAGCCUUGCAGUCCGUUCCAUUUACAGAGGAAAAUGCUUCGCCGCUUAAGGAACACGCCGCAGCAGUUUUCACACCUAGUGUCUUUAAGAUGGUCUUAUGGAGCAUAGAUGCUGUCAGCAAAUGUCAGAUUAGAGAGAUACUAGAUGGAUCAGAAGAUUCCACUUAUGUUGUGUCCAAGCAGGAAAGAAUGGAUAAAAAGUUUGGAGUGCGCAUUGAAGAGCAAGGAGGUCUUUUGCACAGGGUGAGUUGUUCUUGCCGUAAGCUGGAAUGCGCAGGCACACCAUGUUCCCACAUUUUUUACAUAUUGGGGAUUUUAAAACAAACAAUUCUGCCCGGUUGUUGCGUUCCCACUAGGUGGACUAUGAAUGCAAAAUGUGCAUACGCACCUACCAGAAAAAACCAGAUGUAUGACUAUUCGGUAAGCCUGCAGAGGUACCGCGAGUUGCGGAAUUGUAGUCACGCCGCAAGUUUCCAGGCAUGCCACUCUGAUGAGGACUAUCACCGUCUAAAGAUGCUUUUGCAAGCACAACAUCAUGGCAAGCAAUCAAGUUUUGAACAAGCUGACAACAAGGAGUCAACUAAUGCUCAGCAUAACAGCAUUAGGUUUGGCCCGUUGAUGCCGCACUCGCAGAAAGUUGAUAAGGUUCUGGAUCCCGUGCAUGUGCCAGGACGAGGUGCACCGAAGAAAAGGCUGCACGCAAAGACAAAGAAGUCAAGAUCACAGAAUAUCUGUGGCUAUUGCAAGAAACCAGGUCACAAUCGACGUAAAUGC